UUAAAAGAUUAAAAUAUCAUUUAACUUUCCCCAUCGAGUACUCGAUUACAUAGGAACUUACACGACUAGUUUCGGCUACAAUUUAGCCAUCAACGGGUGUUAUGUAGUAUAAACCUAUCACUAAUCACUGAUUUUUAUUGUUUUCUAUGAUUUAUAGUCUUCAUUUUCUGAUGAGUACAUGUCCUUCACUAUUUCUUCGUUCGUUGCACUAUCCCUGGUCAUUAUUAGGUUUGUAUUUUGUAUUUCGUGGUGACGUUCAUAUUUUGUGUAGGACUGUGAAGUAAAGUUUCAAUUUUAUCAUCGUUAAUUGAAUUAAAACUGAGAAGAAUGACGCUCGAACGUUUGAUUCGUUUUGCUCCCAGGGUGUCUGCUCUGUUCACGCCUGGAGAAUCCAUGUCAGAUAACGCGAUGAUCUCCGUGUAUCCUUUCGGAGACGAAUUGUACGCCUUCACAGAGUCCCCCGUGAUCCACCGAUUUGACCUCAAAACUCUAGACACGUUGGAAAGGGUGAAUGUUUCCAAGUAUGUGGGGAUUGUAAAUCAUACAUCACAUCCACAUGUGAUGAAGGAUGGCACAGUGUACAACAUGGGAAUGUCUUUAACAGUUACUGGACCCCACUACUCAAUCAUCAAAUUUCCAGCAGCCUAUGACAUUGCAUCUGCAGAAUCAGCUGAUGGGUUUCCCAGUAGAAGACUGAGUAUGUUUGAGUUAGCCAGUAUAAUGGGCUCCGUUCCUGCCAGAUGGCCUCUUCAGCCUGCUUAUAUGCAUACUUUUGGCAUCACUGAAAAUUACUUUGUGAUUGUGGAACAACCUUUGUCUAUAUCUAUACCAACCAUGAUGCAAACUCAUCUUUUGAAUGAUCCAAUGGGAGCAAGCUUCAAAUGGUACCAAGAUCAACGGACUCAUAUUCUUCUUAUGCGUAGAAAAGAUGGUCAGUUGUUCAAGACAUUCCUUGCAGAUGCUUUCUUUUACCUCCAUAUUAUCAACUCUUAUGAAGAAGAUGAUCAUCUGAUUAUUGAUAUAUGUUGUUACAAAGAUGCCGCUAUGUUGGAUUGCAUGUACGUGGAUGCUUUAAUGAAUAUUCAGAAGAAUCCCGAUUAUGCCAAAAUGUUCCGGGGUCGACCUCUGCGAUUUGUGUUGCCGCUAAAGGACGUUUCCUCAGACACUGUUCCAGAAACAAACCUGGUAACAUUGCAAGGAGCCAAAGCUACUGCUUAUCAACUGUCUGAUGGAAAAAUAUUGUCACAGCCUGAACUUCUGUGUGAUCUUGGCUGUGAAACACCCCGAAUUUAUUAUGAGAAGUAUCUUGGACGGUCUUACCGAUACUUUUAUGCCAUUUCAUCCGAUGUUGAUGCAGAUAACCCAGGCACACUGAUUAAAGUGGAUAUUAAAACCUGCACGAGGUUUACGUGGUGUGAGGAAAAUGUGUAUCCAAGUGAGCCAAUUUUUGUACCCUCACCACAUCCUAAGGUCCAUAUGAACAGGAUCCUUCCAUCCUUUUCUCGGACUGGGACCUGUUCAUAUACGUUCUUGGCAGAUGAUCCAGAAGUGGUUUGCCAUUGCCUUCUUCUUUGUGUGAAUGGAGUAAUUGUUGGGAUGCCACGGAGAAACCGGGGAAGCAUUUUGGAGGAGCAUACUACCUUCCUCUUCAUCCCCCAAAAUUCUUGGACGUACGUGUAUAGUAUACACUCACACAGAGCUGUUAAAGAAAAGUGGACAUAAAAUAUGUGAAGCUACCUCUAUGGCUAAACAUUAUCCAUACAAGUGAAUGGGAGGAGUGGAUGUAAGUGGUCAGCUUUACAUUCUGGCUGCUUUAACCCAGGAUUGGAGGAUGUGGAUUGAGAUUUGCAUAACUGAGGAUAAGGACCAGUGGCAGGCUCUGAUGAACACAGUAACAAACCUUCAGGUUUCACAAAAGACAGGAAAUUCCAUUAUUAGAGGUAGGGGCUGGAGUAGUGGUGAUGGUGGCAGUAUUGUGUGUGUUCCCAUUCCACUGUUGGUGUUAAGUGACAACUCUGCAUUUCAUCAUUGGUGAUGAUGCAACCAAGGAAUUCUGUGCCAGCCAAUGUAAUCUGCAGGGAUGGUGUUAUUGGCAGCACUGUGGGAUGCACAGGGCAUUGAGCUCCUGGAUGACAGGGCAGCAGUGAUUAUAGACUGCUAGUGCACAAUAAUGAGGCAGCUGAUGGAAGCCAUCUAUAUGGCAUGCCCUGGCUUGCUCACAGGGAAGUUGAUUCUUAUCCAGAAUCAGAUAUGUUCAUAGAACAUUUUCAACUUAAAAUUACCCAGUUAACAUUCUUAAGUUUGGCCCAAAUUCCCUAGGACAAUCUGUAUAUAAUAAGAAACUUUUAUUUGUUUAAGACUGAAUGAACAGAGUUAAUUUUGGUGACUGCAUAUAGAAAGUACAUCUUCAUGAAUUCCAUCUCCUCAGUAUCUUUUUUUUUUUUUUUAAUAACAACUUGUUUAAUCACUGGUUCUACACAUGACCCUGUUGAUAUCCAUGUUAUCCCCUGAACUAUGCUGGCACUUUAAAUUAGUUUAUCCCUUUCUUGUGCAAUGGAUUUUGUAUGAAAUAUUGCAAGUUUCAAAGUAUCAUCAUUCUUGAGUGAAUAAUAUACAAAUGAGGGCAUAAGAUAUGUGUACAAAAUUUUAGUUGUGAAACCUGAAAGGAAAAGACUACUUGGAAGACCUAGGAAUGAUAGGAGGAUAACAAUGAAGUGUAUCUUAAAGAAGGAAGGUGUGAAAAUUUGGUCUAGAUUCAUCAGGCAUAGGGCAGGGCCCAUUAGCACACUUAUUUGAUCAUGAUAAUGAACCUUCAGAUUCCAUACAAGGGAGAAAUUUCUUGACUAUCUUGAGUGAUUAUUUGAUCCUCAAAAAGGACUCUUCACCAUGUCAGUAGUUAGAAAAUUACAUGAUAAAUAACAUAGGCAUGUCUCAUGAUCAUAAAUUAUGUAGGAAAUAAUGAAUAAUUAACACCAAACACUAUGUUUUUAUGCAGAACAAAUCUUUACUAAAGAAGACAUAUAUAUGUACUUGUAUUUUCUCUUUCUUUGCUCAUCUUAAAACUUUGCAUACCAUAUAGUGUAUUAGAAUAUAAAUAAGCACACAAACAACUAUUAAUAGUAGUUU